rnacentral:rRNA from 1 species
AACGAACGCUGGCGGCAUGCCUAACACAUGCAAGUCGAACGAGACCUUCGGGUCUAGUGGCGCACGGGUGCGUAACGCGUGGGAAUCUGCCCUUGGGUUCGGAAUAACAGUUAGAAAUGACUGCUAAUACCGGAUAAUGUCUUCGGACCAAAGAUUUAUCGCCCAGGGAUGAGCCCGCGUAGGAUUAGCUAGUUGGUGAGGUAAAGGCUCACCAAGGCGACGAUCCUUAGCUGGUCUGAGAGGAUGAUCAGCCACACUGGGACUGAGACACGGCCCAGACUCCUACGGGAGGCAGCAGUGGGGAAUAUUGGACAAUGGCGAAAGCCUGAUCCAGCAAUGCCGCGUGAGUGAUGAAGGCCUUAGGGUUGUAAAGCUCUUUUACCCGGGAUGAUAAUGACAGUACCGGGAGAAUAAGCCCCCGGCUAAACUCCGUGCCAGCAGCCGCGGUAAU